rnacentral:rRNA from 1 species
UACGUAGGGUGCAAGCGUUAAUCGGAAUUACUGGGCGUAAAGCGUGCGCAGGCGGUUUUGUAAGUCUGACGUGAAAUCCCCGGGCUCAACCUGGGAAUUGCGAUGGAGACUGCAAGGCUAGAAUCUGGCAGAGGGGGUAGAAUUCCACGUGUAGCAGUGAAAUGCGUAGAGAUGUGGAGGAACACCGAUGGCGAAGGCAGCCCCCUGGGUCAAGAUUGACGCUCAUGCACGAAAGCGUGGGGAGCAAACAGG